UUUGAGACAGAGAGAGACAGAGUAUGAACAGGGGAGGGGCAGAGAGAGAGGGAGACACAGAAUCCGAAACAGGCUCCAGGCUCUGAGCUGUCAGCACAGAGCCCGACGCAGGGCUCGAACUCACAACCGUGAGAUCAUGACCUGAGCCGAAGUCGGACACUUAACCGACCAAGCCACCCAGGUGCCCCUGUUUUCUCUUUUUAAAUAGUGCUUCACCCUUUGCUUUCUCUUCUCCCUUCACAGACACCAUCACUACCAAGUCCGCUAAGGGCAGGGUCUCUAAGAGUCAUCUGCAAAUGCUUCCCAUUAUGUGCUCAGUCAGGAUUUGCUGAGUAGACAGGAACUUGUGGACAGACAUUAUGCAUACAGUAGAAGAUUACAAGGACAGGAGCCCUCUUGUGAAGGUUGAAUGUUCAACCAAAGCAAAGAGCUCCAGUAGCAGAUGGCCAAAGACUAUAGAAAAGGAAAGUACUCGCCAGUGGUGUGUUAGAGAAAUUUCCUGAAAAGGGCAUCAUUGAGGCUAUGUGGUGAAAAAUGUCAGAACCACAGGAUGGAAUGAGCCUGGAUCCUGGAAUCACUCCUGAAAGAAAGCUUCCUAUGAGAAAUCCCAACCAUGAACACCUGCUUUGAACUUUAUGUGAUUGAUAAAUAAACAUUAAUUGUAUUAA